rnacentral:rRNA from 1 species
UACGUAGGGUGCGAGCGUUAAUCGGAAUUACUGGGCGUAAAGCGUGCGCAGGCGGUUUCGUAAGACAGGCGUGAAAUCCCCGGGCUCAACCUGGGAACUGCGCUUGUGACUGCGAGGCUAGAGUGUGUCAGAGGGAGGUGGAAUUACACGUGUAGCAGUGAAAUGCGUAGAGAUGUGGAGGAACACCGAUGGCGAAGGCAGCCUCCUGGGAUAACACUGACGCUCAUGCACGAAAGCGCGGGGAGCAAACAGG